UACGUAGGGUGCGAGCGUUGUCCGGAAUUAUUGGGCGUAAAGAGCUCGUAGGCGGUGUGUCACGUCGGCCGUGAAAACCUGCAGCUUAACUGUGGGCGUGCGGUCGAUACGGGCAUCACUGGAGUUCGGCAGGGGAGACUGGAAUUCAUGGUGUAGCAGUGAAAUGCGUAGAGAUCAUGAGGAAGACCAGUGGCGAAGGCGGGUCUCUGGACAGUUCCUGACACUGAGACACGAAGGCCAGGGGGAGCAAACGGGG
rnacentral:rRNA from 1 species